rnacentral:rRNA from 1 species
GACGAACGCUGGCGGCGCGCUUAACACAUGCAAGUCGAACGGAAAGGCCUGCUUUCCCUUGUGGAUUGCGGGUACUCGAGUGGCGAACGGGUGAGUAACACGUGAGUGAUCUGCCCCCAACUUGGGUAUAAGCCUGGGAAACUGGGUCUAAUUCCCGAUAGGACUGCAGGGUGGUGCCUGUGGUGGAAAACGAUUUUCUAGUGGUUGGGGAUGAGCUCGCGGCCUAUCAGCUUGUUGGUGGGGUAAUGGCCUACCAAGGCGGCGACGGGUAGCCGGCCUGGGAGGGUGGACGGCCACAUGGGGACUGGGAUACUGCCCAGACUCCUACGGGAGGCAGCAGUGGGGAAUAUUGCACAAUGGGCGGAAGCCUGAUGCAGCGACGCCGCGUGGGGGAUGACGGCCUUCGGGUUGUAAACUCCUUUCGACCGCGAGGAAGCCACCUGGUUGGAAGGGUGGUGACGGUAGUGGUAGAAGAAGCACCGGCUAACUACGUG